UACGGGAGGCAGCAGUGAGGAAUAUUGGUCAAUGGACGCAAGUCUGAACCAGCCAUGCCGCGUGAAGGAUGAAGGCCUUCUGGGUUGUAAACUUCUUUUAUUGGGGAAGAAAAUUACGGUUUCUACUGUAACCGACGGUACCCAAGGAAUAAGCACCGGCUAACUCCGUGCCAGCAGCCGCGGUAAUACGGAGGGUGCAAGCGUUAUCCGGAUUCACUGGGUUUAAAGGGUGUGUAGGCGGGCAUUUAAGUCAGUGGUGAAAUCUCCGAGCUCAACUCGGAAACUGCCAUUGAUACUAUUUGUCUUGAAUAUCGUUGAGGUUGGCGGAAUAUAUCAUGUAGCGGUGAAAUGCUUAGAUAUGAUAUAGAACACCGAUUGCGAAGGCAGCUAACUAAGCGAUGAUUGACGCUGAGGCACGAAAGCGUGGGGAUCAAACAGGAUUAGAUACCCUGGUAGUCCACGCCCUAAACGAUGAUUACUCGACAUACGCGAUACACAGUGUGUGUCGAGCGAAAGC
rnacentral:rRNA from 1 species